AGGAUUAACGCUGGCGGCGUGCCUGACACAUGCAAGUCGAACGAGGCCGCAAGGCCGAGUGGCGGACGGGUGAGUAACACGUGACCAACCAACCUCGAAGUUGGGAAUAGCUCUGCGAAAGUAGGGGUAAUACCGAAUGUGGCCCAGGGCGGGCAUCCGCCUUGGUCUAAAGAUUCAUCGCUUCGAGACGGGGUCGCGGCCUAUUAGCUUGUUGGUGAGGUAACGGCUCACCAAGGCGAUGAUGGGUAGCUGGUCUGAGAGGACGACCAGCCACACUGGGACUGAGACACGGCCCAGACUCCUACGGGAGGCAGCAGUGAGGAAUCUUCCGCAAUGGGCGAAAGCCUGACGGAGCAACGCCGCGUGUGGGAUGAAGACUCUAGGGUUGUAAACCACUGUCGGAGGGGACGAUCGUGACGGUACCCUCCAAGAAACGCCCCGGACUAACUACGUGCCAGCAGCCGC
rnacentral:rRNA from 1 species